rnacentral:rRNA from 1 species
GACGAACGCUGGCGGCGUGCCUAAUACAUGCAAGUCGAACGAUGAAGCCGGAGCUUGCUCUGGUGAAUUAGUGGCGAACGGGUGAGUAACACGUGAGUAACCUGCCCUUGACUCUGGGAUAACUGCGGGAAACUGUAGCUAAUACCGGAUACGACCCUCGGAGGCAUCUCCUGGGGGUGGAAAGAAUUUCGGUCAAGGAUGGACUCGCGGCCUAUCAGCUAGUUGGUGAGGUAAAGGCUCACCAAGGCGACGACGGGUAGCCGGCCUGAGAGGGUGACCGGCCACACUGGGACUGAGACACGGCCCAGACUCCUACGGGAGGCAGCAGUGGGGAAUAUUGCACAAUGGGCGCAAGCCUGAUGCAGCAACGCCGCGUGAGGGAUGACGGCCUUCGGGUUGUAAACCUCUUUUAGUAGGGAAGAAGCGAAAGUGACGGUACCUGCAGAAAAAGCACCGGCUAACUACGUGCCAGCCGCCGCGGUAA